CCUCUGCCCUGUGGGUUCCGUGCUUCCGGGCAGGGAGGGUUGGGCGCCAUGUUUGCGUAAAGAGGCUGCAGCACCACCCCGUGGGCCUCUGGCCCUUGGUCCUCAGGCGAGGGGCGUCUGACUUCUCCAGAAGGGCGUCCUCGCGCCCUCCUGAGGAAGACCCUGCAGCUCUGUGGUUGAGGAAGCUCAGAAACGGGGUUUCUGGCCCCUUGGCCAUAGGCUCCAGUACCCUCAAGGAAGCACGGGUUGCUGAGAGAAAAGCAGGGCCGGCCGCCACUUUAAGCGCCGAAAACAUUCCAGUCAGGACCGUUGUCUAAGGGCGCAAGAGACCUCAGUGUGGGACCCUCCGGGUUCAUCCCAAAUGCCUGUUGACUGGAAAAAAACACACGACCUAAAAGUCGGAGAAAACUUGUCCAAAAGUUGGACAAAACUGAGGACUUAAGCCCAGGACGCAGCAUCUCAGAUAACUGACGGACUGGCCCGAAGAGCCUCCUGACUGCAGGCCCCCAGGCGGCCAAAACCUGGACCAGCAGGACUUCGGGUAUCACAGUCUUGGAGCAUCCUGUCCUGGGCAUUUCCUGCAGGUGGGCUGACACUCUGCGGCCUCUCGUGUCCGACCUCCGUCCCUCAGCCUUUGAGACCCAGCUGUGCUCUGCCUCUGUCAGUGCUUUAUCCCUCUUGGAGAAACCCGUUCUUGCUCGUUCAACAAUUGGCGGGAUUAAAUGACAUACCACUUGCAGAAGGGCCUCCUUUAGGGCCUGGCCCACACGAGGCUCUUACAGAGUCCCCUUCCCCUCACGAGUCAUGGAGUUUCCCUGGCAGUGCCCUGCGCACAGGCCCUCGUGUGGUCCGUGACGCCAGCCUCUCCAUGCGCCAAGCUUUGGCAGCAGCAGAAAGACCAGGAGAGGCUCAGUCCCUGACUCCCCUCGAUGCCGGGUCUGGUAUCAGAGUAGCGUCCUAGGGACCGUUGGGGCCGUGAGGGCCUGAUGCCACGGCCCCCUCUCCGGAGAAAGGCUGUGAUGACGCAGAGGCCGCGCCUUGCUGAAACAGGACAUGCGUUCAGAAGCGGGCAUGAGAGCUGCGGGGGCCGAGAGGGCAGCGUGGCGACCAGGGUCAGCCUCAGGGUAUCAUCUGCAGACCUCUGUGCACUCGGCAGCCCCGCGGCCAAGGAGGCGGCGCCUUCGUGCUUGCGGACCCCGGCUGUCACCCCAGCCUGCCGCUGCUCUUUGUCUGCCCCUGGCAGGCUGCAGCCUGGUCUCAAGGCGUGGCUGCGAGCCCGGCAGUCACCUGUGUGGUGUGGAGUGCCCCUGCUCGGCGGUUCCAGAGAGCCGUGCGUAAGGAGCAGCACGGAAACGAAGCAGUUCCAGCCAGCCGGCUCUGUGACCCAGAAGCGACCCUUUCGCUGCACCCAGUUGCCUGGGGAAAGACGGUGACCGUUGUCUUUUUACGAACUAGGCUUGUCUACGUUGAGGGAGGGAAAAGGAUGUAAGAUUAAAGGCGGCCCAUGAGAGUCACGCGCGUUUCAUCACAGAGACGAACCCCGGGGCGCCUGAGAUUCUAACUUCUCCUGAGGGAAGCAAACACCGUUAAGACCGGGCCCAGUUUAUGAGGGUCCCGGGCAUGUUUCUCUUGAAAUGGCGUAAAUCCGCUUCCCAGAGAGCAUGCAAAGACCCGUUUCCGAGACGCCUGCCACCCGGGCCAGGCGUGGAAGCAGCGCUUUCCCGUGGAGGCUGGUGCUGUCUCUCCGGCCAGGUGCCCUCUCCACGGCCCAGCGGUGCCCCCAGCUGUGGAGCUUUAUGUCAGCAGGAGUAUUUUUAUUUAACGUCACAUGGUAAACACAAAGAAAAUUCUCUGUUUUCUGACCUAAUUUCAGCAGGGCAUAGAAUUAAGUUUAGCUUGUCACCUUGUUUUCUGCCGGACUUGGUCAGGUUUCAGUAUUUUUGUUCUUGAAGCGAAGCUUCCUGCCCUCAUUAAAGACAUUGAAGACUUCCUUGUACUCAUAUCUUGCACUAUUUGUUCAGUUCUUUAAUAAAUGAAACCCUAAUC